rnacentral:rRNA from 1 species
UGGGGAAUUUUCCGCAAUGGGCGAAAGCCUGACGGAGCAAUACCGCGUGAGGGAAAAUCUUCGGAUGGACGGCCUAUGGGUUGUAAACCUCUUUUUUCAGGGAGGAAUAAAAUGACGUGUACCUGAAGAAUAAGCAUCGGCUAACUCCGUGCCAGCAGCCGCGGUAAGACGGAGGAUGCAAGUGUUAUCCGGAAUCACUGGGCGUAAAGCGUCUGUAGGUGGUCCAAUAAGUCAACUGUUAAAUCUUGAGGCUCAACCUCAAAAUCGCAGUCGAAACUAUUAGACUAGAGUAUAGUAGGGGUAAAGGGAAUUUCCAGUGGAGCGGUGAAAUGCGUAGAGAUUGGAAAGAACACCGAUGGCGAAGGCACUUUACUGGGCUAUUACUAACACUCAGAGACGAAAGCUAGGGUAGCAAAUGGGAUUAGAUACCCCCGUAGUCC